GCUCGAGUGGCGAACGGGUGAGUAACACGUGAGUAACCUGCCCUUGACUUUGGGAUAACUUCAGGAAACUGGGGCUAAUACCGGAUAGGAGCUCCUGCUGCAUGGUGGGGGUUGGAAAGUUUCGGCGGUUGGGGAUGGACUCGCGGCUUAUCAGCUUGUUGGUGGGGUAGUGGCUUACCAAGGCUUUGACGGGUAGCCGGCCUGAGAGGGUGACCGGCCACAUUGGAACUGAGACACGGUCCAG
rnacentral:rRNA from 1 species